rnacentral:lncRNA from 9 species
CAAUCUCCAAUAACCAAAGGAAAGUCUCCUCCUGCUGCUGCCUUGGGGCCCUACGGCCCCUCCUGUCGUCCGUCCUUCCUUCUUCUGUUGGGGUCCUCCAUCUGACUCCCUGGACAAGGGGAGAGGACAUGAGAGGGAGAGUGUCCCAGGAGGAAGGUAGGAGUGGGGAUGCUGGUGGAGCCCAGCUGGGGACAGAGAGGGUGUCUUCCCUUGAGACUCCUUCCUGCCCUGGGAGUGCCCAGGCCUUCAGAGGGAAUCGGUCAGCUCCAGCUGCCAUCACCAAUCCCAUGGGCAAUGGGGCUUGAAUAACAAGAAUAAUGUAUCAACUCACCGUUUCGGAGCCCAGCCUUCUGAGAUCCCGGUAUAAACCAGCUGGGUUGGCCCUGAGGCCUCUCUCCUUGGAUUCCAGAUGCCCAUCUCCGGCCUGCGCCCUCACAUCAGCUCCCUCUGUGGGACUCAGGGUCUAAAUUUGCCCUUUCUAUAGGGGCACCCAUCCUAUUGUAUUAGGGGCCACCUUAGUGACCUGAUUUCAGCUCUUUCUGUACAAACUCUGCUGCAGGGCUUGCGGGGUGUUGCCCUGGAACUGAACCCGAGAAGGAACCAGGAGUGUUCAGGUUCGAUCCCUGGCCUCGCUCAGGAAGGGAAGGAUCCAAUGUGGCCAUGAGCUGUGGUGUAGGUCUCAGACCCGGCUUGGAUGUGGCAUUGCGGUGGCUGUGGUGUAGGCCGGCUGCCAAAGCUCCGAUCGAUCGAUGGAUCGUUCGGAUGCCAAGCCUGGGAACUUCCAUAUGCCGCCCCAGCAGCCCCAUCCAAACAAACAAACGUAGGCAAUGGAAAGACAAAGAAAAGACUGCUCCACCUAAGGUCAUGUUCGGAGGUCCUGGGGGAGAAGCCUUCCACAUAUGAACUUCGGGUAAUAGAGCUGUAGCCCCUUUUGGCAGGUGUCUCCAGUGCCAGGGAUGAAGGGUCUUUUGGAAAGUAAAGGAACAUCAGUCCUGGGGUUGGGAUGAAGGAGGAUCGACUCCCCAAAGUGAGGGAGGGACGUUUCCAGAGUGCAGGGCACUCGAGCCGGAUCAGAGCCCAUGACCCAAGGCCAUGGGCAGGGGGUUCCAGCCCGUGGCAUAUAAGGCUCUUGAAGGAACGGAGUCUAGGCGACUGAGAGGGAAGCUGAGAGAGGAGCUCCAGCGCCAGGCUGUGAGAUGAGGUCCAGGCCUCACAGCACUCUGCUCCUACAUUGGAUUCCCAGCACCCUCUUUCAGCAUGCCCACGGCCCCGCUCUCCAUAGCCUGAAGGGGAACAACUCACUGCCCACCUUUCUGGCCCCCACCCCCACAUGAACACCUGCCUUCGGUCCAAGGGCCCCAGCCAGCCUGGCCCAAGGGGUCCACACCUCCAGCACUUGGAGCCUGAUGUCUCCUUUUCAGCUUAGCUGGCUCAGGCCAACCCGAGGGAGUUCCUGGAAGCAGUGUUGUUGCAAUCCUUCCUGCCCUCUGCCUGACCCAGUGUUCUCAUGUAGCCAGCAGGAUCCCGGGAAGCCUCACAGUGGACCCAGCCUUCAGGACUCACAGUGCUAUGGUGGGUGACCUAUCUCUUCCUAACGUUUGCCCAUUUUCUGGUGGAAUAGGUCCCGCUGUUAUGGUCGUGUCUUGGCAGUGCCUUAUUCCCUCGAGACACCAGACUUGGGUCAGAUGUGUGGUUGGCAGGUAGUUUCUCCAAACCUGUAGCUUCUUUUCAGCUAGGAAAAUGUUUCCAUGUGAUGAGGUCCGUUUUCUGUCUGGGGUAGGGUUUUGGCUGUCAUGGGGAAGAACGCUUAUCUUUUCAUUGUUGCUGAUGUUGUUGUUGCCUAUUCCAGCGGUAUUGAUGUACUUAUCUUCAGUUUGAUUGAAAGGACAGUGAGGUACCAUGUUGUGCUAUUUCCUGCUGUGUCGCAAAGUGAUUCGGUCAUACAUACACACACACCCCUUCUCCCUCAGAUUCUAUGCCCAUAUCGACUAUCACUAACUGUGGGCUAGAGUUCCCUGGGCUCUACCACAGGUUCCUGUUGGCCGGUCAUUCCAUGUACUCCGUGUGCAGAAGCCAGUCCCAAACCCCCAGUCCCUCCUGCUGUGGACUUGGCUCCUUUGGACCCAUCGGUUUUCCAAGGCUGGGAGUCUGUUUCUGUUCCGUGCACACGUUCAUUUGUGUCCUCUCUUUCGGUUCCACUUAGAAGUGGUAUCAUACGAUGUUUGUCUUUCCCUGUCCACCUUCACUUAGGAUGAUAAUUUCCAGGUCCAUCCUUGCUGCUGCAGCGUUCAUGAUUCCAUUCUCUUGUAUGAUUGUGUGAUGUCCCCCCGUACAUAUGAACCUCAUCCUCUUUAUCCAUGCCUCGGCCGAUGGACAUUUAGCUUGCUCCCUUGUCUUGGCUAUUGGAAAUGGUGCUUCAGUGGACAUUGGGGUGCAUGUAUGUUUUGAAGGGCCUUUCUUUCCUUUUGAUGAAGUCCAACUUUCUGUUCUUUCCUUCCCUUUUGGGAUAAUGUUUUUCUUGUCAUGUGGAAGACCCCUUUGCCAAGCCUGAGGACCCAGAGGUUUGCUCCAAUUGUUUUUUCUUAGGUGUGGUAAACGUUGCAUCGUUUGUAUUUAUACACAUUUUACAUUUGCACUGAAUGUUCCAUGAUGAGUUCAUUUUCGUAUCGGAUAAAAACCCUAUCCCUAUUCCAUUCUACUGCCCUUGAGCUUCCGUAUUAGAACAUCCCAGGUUGGUGUAUUGCUAUGGAUCUAUUUCUGCAUUCUCUAUCUGUACACUGAACUCUGUCUGCCUCUAUCCCGCCAGCAAUGCCAAGCUGCCCUCCAUAGAGCGUUCUCAUAAGCCGAAUCACCUCCCACUUUAAUGUGCUUUCUCGAAAUUAUGUUUGAUGUUCUGGCUCCUUUAUCUUUUCUUUAUCCAUUUUAGAAUAAUUUCAUCCAUGUG